GAGCAGCGGGGACGCCCAGUGGGUGCCGCGCCAUGGCGCGAGAGCUCGCCGGGGCGCAGCGGCGCGUGCGCACGAAGGUCUCGCGGUCUCCCGUGGAGGGGGCCGAGGGGCGGGCUGAGGGACCGGCCGGGGGAGUGAGGGUCAGCGGCGCAGAGGAGUAGGUUCCACGCCCAGCAUGGAGCCCAAUACAGAGCUUGAACUCAUGACACUGAGAUCAGGACCUGAGCUGAGAUCAAGAUUCAGACGCUUAAGCAACCCAGGUGCCCCGAAAAUUCUUCUAACUGAACAUGUAUGGAUUUUAUUUAUUUACUUGAGAGAGAGAGAAAGCAUGAGAGAAGACGUGAGAAGGAGCAAGAGCGCAAGCAGGUGGGAGGGGCAGAGGGAGAAGCAGACUCCUCGCCGAGCAGGGAGCACAACGUGGGACUCCAUCCCAGGACCCUGGGAUCAUGACCUGAACCGAAGGCAAUCACUUAACCGACUGAGCCACCCAGUUUGGAGACUUCUGAUCAAUUACAUACAACUGGCUUUCAUGGACCAACAUCUUUAAAGGCCAUUUGGAAGCUUCAAACAGGUGCUGAUAUUUCUUGAUGGAUGAUGAAGAGAUUUCGAGCAAAGGUCAUGAGGACCCCCUGGAGAUCUUCACCGAUUGUUCUGUUAAUGAUAUCCAAACAAAUGAGUUUACCAACGAUUCCCCUCACAUGCUUAAAAACAAUCACCCUCUCAUUUGUGCCUGUCUGGUGGUGGAAUUUAAUGAGUAUUUUCAAUCUCACAAGGUGGCAAUCUUCAGGGAGAUAGGAAAGAUGAGGCUCCAUUUCAACUUGUCAACAAAGAGGAUUUGUGUAAUAAAUAUUUUUUAUUAAUCAACUUAGGAGAAUGUAAGAAUAGCUUCAGUCAUUCCUAGCAAAAGGCUACCACUGAGCUAGGACGGUAGUAUUAGUUCAUUUAAAAAAUUGUUGAAAUCAGAUUAUAAGAGAAUUGUUGCUAAAUAUAAUUCAUACCUAACAGUUUCCUUGCCUACAGAGAUAUUUGCACCUCAGUAUUCUGGAGACUGGGGCUUAUUUUCUAUUUCAGGUAUACAAGCAAUUCCUGCUAUUUAUGAGUAUGCUCCAUCCAUGUUCCUAGGAGAAUGUGUCCCAUUCCUGAACAGCCAGCUUUAUAAAGCUUUAUAAAGCUGAACACACACUUGAAGGUUUCAGAGACAACACUGUGGCCAGUGAACAUUCCCAAACAACUAGGUUGUUUUAAGUUUUAGCUUUGCAAAACUUUGCAAAACUGCAGAGUUUAUCUUCUUAUUUUGUGAACUUUCUGUAUCAAAGGGAAAAAAUGGAUUAAAUGAAUGGAUUGAUUUUUAAGAAUUGUUCUGUCUUGAGGGUAUGAAACUAAAGAGCUGGCUCUUAAGGUAACUGCAAAGAACUUUGGGUUACUUCCUUCCCUGUUGUUGCCUGUAAAAUAAGUCAUUUUGGAGUGUAAGGCUUAAAUCCUUUUGGAAUGGCUGCCUUCCAGCCUGAUUAGGUUUUCCCAUAGGUCAGGCUGGGAGCAGAAAGCUUCCCAGGCCCCAGGCAGGAGACUGUUUGUCCUGCCACCGGCAGUGUGACUUUGGGGAGAAAGCUACUUAAACUCUCUGGGUUCUUCAUUAUUUUUUUUUCUGAAAUGAAGGGGUUGGAUUGGAUUAGUGCUUCCAAACUUUUGGAGUUACAGUCCCCAGUCCAAGAACUGCCCACCCUUACUUCUCAUAGUUACUGAACAUUAGUAUCUAUUGCCUCUUUUAAGAGAAUAAUAGCCAAAGGCAACUUAAGAGUCAAUAAUUUUUAAAAGUGAUUUGUACUUUAUUGCCACAUAGUCAAUAUGUCAGUAUGUAUUAGACCCUGGUGCUUUUUUUUUUUUGUUCUUAAAGAUUUUAUUUAUUUAUUUAUUUAUUUGACAGAGAGAGCCAGAGAGUACAAGCAGGGGGAGUGGCAAAGGGAGAAGGAGAAGCAGGCUCCCAGCUGAGCAGGGAGCCCAAUGUGGGGCUUAAUCCCAGGACCCUGGGAUCAGACCUGAGCCGGAGUUAGUAGCUUAACCAACUGAGCCACCCAGGUGCCCUAGACCCUGGUGCUUCUUAAAACAGCAGAUUCCUAGGGUCUACCUUAGAUCAACAAAAUCAGAUUCUUUGGGUUUGGGAUCCAGGAAUGUAUAGUUUCACUGAAAUCCUCAGUUGAUUCAUGUGUGUGGUGUGUGGUGUGUGGUGUGUGGUGUGUGUGUGUGUGUGUGAUUGAGGCCCAUACUUAAAAUUAGUGUGUUUAUGUGUGUGUGUAUGAUCCUGGGUCCACACAUGGAUUCAUGCCCCGCUUGU